rnacentral:rRNA from 1 species
GGCGGCGUGCUUAACACAUGCAAGUCGAACGCUGAAGCUCCCAGCUUGCUGGGGGUGGAUGAGUGGCGAACGGGUGAGUAACACGUGAGUAACCUGCCCCGAACUCUGGGAUAAGCGCUGGAAACGGCGUCUAAUACUGGAUAUGUCCUAUCACCGCAUGGUGUGUAGGUGGAAAGAAUUUCGGUUCGGGAUGGACUCGCGGCCUAUCAGCUAGAUGGUGAGGUAAUGGCUCACCAUGGCGACGACGGGUAGCCGGCCUGAGAGGGUGACCGGCCACACUGGGACUGAGACACGGCCCAGACUCCUACGGGAGGCAGCAGUGGGGAAUAUUGCACAAUGGGCGCAAGCCUGAUGCAGCAACGCCGCGUGAGGGAUGACGGCCUUCGGGUUGUAAACCUCUUUUAGUAGGGAAGAAGCGAAAGUGACGGUACCUGCAGAAAAAGCACCGGCUAACUACGUGCCAGCAGCCGCGGUAAUACGUAGGGUGCAAGCGUUGUCCGGAAUUAUUGGGCGUAAAGAGCUCGUAGGCGGCUUGUCGCGUCUGCUGUGAAAACCAGAGGCUCAACCUCUGGCCUGCAGUGGGUACGGGCAAGCUAGAGUGCGGUAGGGGAGAUUGGAAUUCCUGGUGUAGCGGUGGAAUGCGCAGAUAUCAGGAGGAACACCGAUGGCGAAGGCAGAUCUCUGGGCCGUAACUGACGCUGAGGAGCGAAAGCAUGGGGAGCGAACAGGAUUAGAUACCCUGGUAGUCCAUGCCGUAAACGUUGGGAACUAGAUGUAGGGCCUGUUCCACGGGUUCUGUGUCGUAGCUAACGCAUUAAGUUCCCCGCCUGGGGAGUACGGCCGCAAGGCUAAAACUCAAAGGAAUUGACGGGGGCCCGCACAAGCGGCGGAGCAUGCGGAUUAAUUCGAUGC